GAUGAAGAACGUAGCAAAAUGCGAUAAGUAAUGUGAAUUGCAGAAUUCAGUGAAUCAUCGAAUCUUUGAACGCACAUUGCGCCCGCUGGUAUUCCGGCGGGCAUGCCUGUUCGAGCGUCAUUUCAACCCUCAAGCCCCCGGGUUUGGUGUUGGGGAUCGGCUCUGCCCUUCUGGGCGGUGCCGCCCCCGAAAUACAUUGGCGGUCUCGCUGCAGCCUCCAUUGCGUAGUAGCUAACACCUCGCAACUGGAACGCGGCGCGGCCAUGCCGUAAAACCCCAACUUCUGAAUGUUGACCUCGGAUCAGGUAGGAACACCCGCUGAACUUAAGCAUAUCAAUAAGCGGAGGA
rnacentral:misc_RNA from 1 species